CAGAUAGCUCAGUCGGUAGAGCAGAGGACUGAAAAUCCUCGUGUCGCUGGUUCGAUUCCGGCUCUAGG
rnacentral:tRNA from 1 species